GGAGCGCGCGGGCCAAGUGGGACGCGGGGAGGCACGCGGCCGAGGGAGCGCGCCUCUGAGUGGCUAGAUCUGUGCCUUUUAUCAUGAAGUGUAGGGAAGAAAAGGACCCAAAAGUAAGCAUCCGUGAUAGAAAUCAAUCUCAGUAGAGCGCGCUCACGCUGCACCCUUGCCUCACUUCUAGCGGGGUAGGCCGGACAGGUGUCACUGCUGUGUUACAGGCCUUUAUUGAAACCAUCUAUCCUGGGCGGCAGCUUGGUUGUGGAAGAAUGGACUUUGGCUUCAGAUAAACUUCAGCUCAAAUGGACUUUGGCAUUCUCCAGGCAAACACUGGCUCAUUUGAACCUUCAAGAUUUCAAAGGAAGGACCUGAGAUGUAUGUAAGCAGAAGGUUUACAUCGUCUGGCGCUCUGGGGUCGAGCUGCUGCCCUGGGCGGGUGCACCGAGGACGGACUCCUCAGUUACAGCCGGGUAACCGGGACCUGCCCAGAGGGAGCCCCAAAACCAGAGGGAGAAGUUUUCUGCGAAUGGCGCGCUGUCCUUGGCCGCAGUGACUGCAACUCUCUUCCUGCAAAAAAGACGCCAGGUGAGGCCACCGUUCCUGCGGC